AGUCAUGCACUAAAUAGGGAGCAAGGGAGCAUCCUAUAACUCUCUAUAACUGUUCUGAGACCAGUGCAGACAGACAGCACACUGGAGGUUAAGUCAUGCACUAAAUAGGGAGCAAGGGAGCAUCCUAUAACUCUCUAUAACUGUUCUGAGACCAGUGCAGACAGACAGCACACUGGAGGUUAAGUCAUGCACUAAAUAGGGAGCAAGGGAGCAUCCUAUAACUCUCUAUAACUGUUCUGAGACCAGUGCAGACAGACAGCACACUGGAGGUUAAGUCAUGCACUAAAUAGGGAGCAAGGGAGCAUCCUAUAACUCUCUAUAACUGUUCUGAGACCAGUGCAGACAGACAGCACACUGGAGGUUAAGUCAUGCACUAAAUAGGGAGCAAGGGAGCAUCCUAUAACUCUCUAUAACUGUUCUGAGACCAGUGCAGACAGACAGCACACUGGAGGUUAAGUCAUGCACUAAAUAGGGAGCAAGGGAGCAUCCUAUAACUCUCUAUAACUGUUCUGAGACCAGUGCAGACAGACAGCACACUGGAGGUUAAGUCAUGCACUAAAUAGGGAGCAAGGGAGCAUCCUAUA